AUCCUCCUUCUGCAGUUCCACCUGUUGAGCUCUAUUCAGAUCGGAGCCAUCCUGGGACCACAAAGAGAGCUGGGUAAGAGCAGGUGUGGACACAGCAUGGACUCUUUAUUUAGUUCAGUUCCACCUGUUGAGCUCUAUUCAGAUCGGAGCCAUCCUGGGACCACAAAGAGAGCUGGGUAAGAGCAGGUGUGGACACAGCAUGGACUCUUUAUUUAGUUCAGCUGAACUUUUUCUGGCCACGGAGGGAAGGAAGAGAGGCUCAGAAGAAAGGGUUCAAUCACCUGGGACUUGCACCGAUUAGCCAUUUCCCCAGCUUCUCCAUUCUGCUUGUCACAGAAGAAGAAGGCACUUGUUGAUGGAGUGCCCUUUGUCAAAGGAAGCUUUCUGAAGCUCAGGCUUCUCCUGAAGUACAUGGUUCAGAUCAGCAGCGUUUUUGAGUGUACUAAUCAAUGAACCAUACAGCAAGC
rnacentral:lncRNA from 1 species